GUGGCACUGGCGGAGUCGACUGGGCUUGACCUGAAGCAGAUCAACAAUUGGUUCAUCAACCAGCGGAAGCGGCACUGGAAGCCAUCUGAGGAGAUGCACCACCUGAUGAUGGACGGGUACCACACAACCGGCGCCUUCUAUAUGGAUGGACACUUCAUCAAUGAUGGCGGGCUGUACCGGCUCGGCUAGCGCCAUCAUCGCUUCCAUUUUACCACAACCUAGCUAAACACUAAUGGUUCCAAGUGUCUGAAGUACCGAAGACUUGGCUAGCUAUCUAAUGUCGUGUGUGCCGCAUGCAUGAGCUUUAAGGAGGCCAUGCUAAAUUAUUUUGUUGCCAUUGCUACUCAAUCUAUGCC
rnacentral:lncRNA from 1 species